CACCGCCCGUCACACCAUGGGAGUGGAUUGCACCAGAAGUAGUUAGCUUAACCGCAAGGAGGGCGACUACCACGGUGUGCUUCAUGACUGGGGUG
rnacentral:rRNA from 1 species